GAUGAACGCUGGCGGCGUGCUUAACACAUGCAAGUCGAACGGAACUACUCCAAUGAGAGUCUUCGGACGGGUGUUGGUUUAGUUUAGUGGCGGACGGGUGAGUAACGCGUGGGUAACCUGCCCUAUACAGGGGGAUAACAGUUGGAAACUACUGUUAAUACCUCAUUAGCGCACAGGAGCGCAUGCUCCGGUGUGAAAAACUCCGGUGGUAUAGGAUGGACCCGCGUCUGAUUAGCUGGUUGGCGGGGUAACGGCACACCAAGGCGACGAUCAGUAGCCGGGAGGGGAGGGGGAAAGGCAACGUUGGAGAUGCGACCCGGCCCAAAAUCCUACGGGAGGCAGCAGUGGGGAAUAGUACACAAUGGGGGAAAACGUGAUGAAGCGACGCCGGGUGAGAGAAGAAGUAGGUCGGAAUGUAAAGCUCCAUGAGCAGGGAAGAAAAUGACGGUACCGGACUAAGAAGCACCGGCUAACUACGUG
rnacentral:rRNA from 1 species